rnacentral:rRNA from 1 species
GAUGAACGCUGGCGGCGUGCCUAAUACAUGCAAGUCGAGCGAACAGACGAGGAGCUUGCUCCUCUGACGUUAGCGGCGGACGGGUGAGUAACACGUGGAUAACCUACCUAUAAGACUGGGAUAACUUCGGGAAACCGGAGCUAAUACCGGAUAAUAUAUUGAACCGCAUGGUUCAAUAGUGAAAGACGGUUUUGCUGUCACUUAUAGAUGGAUCCGCGCCGCAUUAGCUAGUUGGUAAGGUAACGGCUUACCAAGGCAACGCUGCGUAGCCGACCUGAGAGGGUGAUCGGCCACUCUGGCACUGAGACACGGUCCAGACUCCUACGGGAGGCAGCAGUAGGGAAUCUUCCGCAAUGGGCGAAAGCCUGACGGAGCAACGCCGCGUGAGUGAUGAAGGUCUUCGGAUCGUAAAACUCUGUUAUUAGUGAAGAACAAAUGUGUAAGUAACUAUGCUCGUCUUGACGGUACCUAAUCAGAAAGCCACGGCUAACUACGUG